rnacentral:rRNA from 1 species
GAUGAACGCUAGCGGCAGGCCCAAUACAUGCAAGUCGGACGGGAUCCAUCGGAGAGCUUGCUCGAAGAUGGUGAGAGUGGCGCACGGGUGCGUAACGCGUGAGCAACCUACCUCUAUCAGGGGGAUAGCCUCUCGAAAGAGAGAUUAACACCGCAUAAUAUAAUCUUCCGGCAUCGUUAGAUUAUUAAAUAUUUAUAGGAUAGAGAUGGGCUCGCGUGACAUUAGCUAGUUGGUAAGGUAACGGCUUACCAAGGCGACGAUGUCUAGGGGCUCUGAGAGGAGAAUCCCCCACACUGGUACUGAGACACGGACCAGACUCCUACGGGAGGCAGCAGUAAGGAAUAUUGGUCAAUGGGCGGAAGCCUGAACCAGCCAUGCCGCGUGCAGGACGACUGCCCUAUGGGUUGUAAACUGCUUUUGUCCAGGAAUAAACCUAAAUACGUGUAUUUAGCUGAAUGUACUGGAAGAAUAAGGAUCGGCUAACUCCGUGCCAGCAGCCGCGGUAACAC